UACGGGGGGGGCAAGCGUUGUUCGGAAUUACUGGGCGUAAAGGGCUCGUAGGCGGCCAACUAAGUCGGAUGUGAAAUCCCCAGGCUUAACCUGGGAACUGCAUCCGAUACUGGACGGCUUGAAUCCGGGAGAGGGAUGCAGAAUUCCAGGUGUAGCGGUGAAAUGCGUAGAUAUCUGGAGGAAUACCGGUGGCGAAGGCGGCAUCCUGGACCGGCAUUGACGCUGAUGAGCGAAAGCUAGGGGAGCAAACGGG
rnacentral:rRNA from 1 species